CAUAACUGAGCCGCAGCUCAACUCUGUCAGGUUUCCCUCGUGAGGACCAUCACUGGAGGCUGAGCUGGCCCUUCAUACAGCUUGAUUUUCCUUGUGUGUGUGUGUGCGCGUGCGUGCGUGCGUGCGUGCGUGCCUGUGUGUUUCUGUGCACGCGAACGCAGGAGCCCACGGAGGCCCGCUCUCCCGGAGCUGGAGGUGUCUGCGAGUCCCGGGACACAGGUGUUGGGACCACGCUCCAGUGCUCUAACAGCAGCUGGCUCUCCACCGGCUGAGCCAUCCUCCAAGCCAGCUGAGGAAUCUCAUCCUUAGGGGCCGGGGCAGGCAGGGUCUCAGGUGCCUGCACUAAGGACUGUGUGGCCCAUGGACACUUAAAGACUAACCCCGAACAGCUGGCUGCUUCCCCGGCACCCCAAGCCCAGUUCGGGCGCAGCUCUGCCUGCCCUUCCUCCCCGGUGCACGCGCUCCAAGGAGUCUGCGUCACAGCCGGUGUCACGGUCAGGAGCUCCAGAGAGAUAGCCUGAAGCUGAGUCAUAAUGUCCCAAGGCAAGAGUUACCUUAUAAAAACCACUGUCCCAAAGGAGACUUGGAAACAGAGUAACCCUAAGAAAGGCCUAGAGACACACACGGGUGUUCCUAGCCUCCAGGAUCUCAGAAGGACUAAAAUCCAACUACACGGCUACUUAAGACUUGCCCCGAUCCCGUGCCCAGUACUGGAGACUUUGGCUUGAGUACCUGCAUGGGAAGCCAGCAACCUUUACAGACCACACCAGAACGAAGAGGCUGAGGUACAGGGGACAGCAUCUGCCCGCCAAACCUCCAGGUACCCUCACUCUAAGAGGAAAUGCCUGCUUGAAACCUCACAGAUGCAAAGCUAAAAAGUAAAAAGUGAAAAAAUGUUUUUGCUCGAGAGAGGAGUGUGAAGUUUCUUCCAUAAAGCGGUAUAUAUGCUUAUAAGCAAUACAAAAAAAAAAAAAAAGAGUAACUGCAUCAGUCUUAGUUGGAGUGGACAUCAGUCCACGCCAGGUCUAGGACAAGAGCAGGCCUCAGGUUCUUCACAGAGAGGCCGGGAAUCGAGAGCUAACCUUCUUCAAAGGGAGGCACAGCAGGAAACAAGCCGUCAACAGCUCCCUACUCCUCACGCAUUCACUCUAAUUAGGGAAAACUAACCCGGAAACUCCCACCUAUCACCCCCGAAGAGGGUGUUGGAGUACUGACAGACUCCCUGGGACAGUCUGGGUAUGACGCAAAGUCACACCCACAAGAGUCUGAGAAGGGAACCUGGGGAGCCACUGGACAGGCAGGCAGUGGCCUCUGAGACUCUGCCGUGGACCUGGGUAUCCCCUCAUUUUGGGCUUGUGUUCUCAGCACUGGAGUCAGUUCCAAACAAAACCUCAUCCUCCACCCGCGCCCCCUCCCAACAGGAAAGCAGAGCUGGUUCCUGCCGUGCUCCCGAAGCGCAGACGGAGAGCCCCACGGCAGCCAGGGCCGUGGGGUCACUGAGGGUGCUGUGUAGGACACUGAAAUGAGCUGGACUUGAGCUGCUGGCUUGGUCUCUGCACACCAACGGACUUUCCUGUCCUGUUCCCCUGGCGUGUCCCCCACCCACCCCCACCCCGGGCAGCAGCAGGGUGGUUAUUUUGGGAAGCUACUGGUUUUGCCAUUUGCUUCCAGAAUCCCAGAGACUGUAACAAACCUUACACUAAACACUGUUCAGUCCUGAGUGGGGUGUGAGCCCAGCAAGGAGGGCCGAGUUCAUUAGGACUCUCUUCCCUCCUUGGCGUGGCGUCAUACAUGGCCUUCAGCCUUUCCCUCCUCCAUGGCCUGCCUCUCGCAUGCUGCACCGGCCUCUGCUUCUACAGUCUUCUUGCUCGUUGCUUUGUUGGCCGCUUCCUGGGGGUUAAAGGAGGAGGGGAAAUUAGCCUCUGCCUUCCCGAGAUGGUUUUAUCAAGCCUACAACAAGCGUGUCUAUGUGUAUUUGGGGCGCACAGUUGGUAAGUGGGGUGGAAGCUGGAGCUCAGGGACAGACCUGCUGCCAGCUGGCACUCACACAGUGACACACCUGUCUCCUGGACAUCGUAGCCAGGAAGUGUUACCUGGAAAAAAUACUGAUGGGCUUACAAGUUUUUUGUUUUGUUUUUUUUCAAGAUAUGGUUUCUCUGUGUAACAGCCCUGACUGUCCAGGAACUCACGCUAUAGACCAGGCUGGCCUGGAACUCAAAGAGAUCCAUUUGCCUCAGCCUCCCAAGUGCUGGGGUUAAAGGUGUGCUGAAUUUAUUAAUAUUUUAAAUAACAAGCUAACUUGGUUUGGUGACAGAUGCCUGAAAUCCCAGAACUCAUGGAGCAGAGGCAAGAGGAUCUCUGAUAUGAAGCUAGCCUGGGCUACAGGCUUCUACAUCUCAAGGAGUUAGCCUCCCCACUCUCCCAUGGACAUGCAAGGCCUCAGCACCCAUGUCUCUGGACAGUGUUGGAGUGCGACCCAACCUGUGCACCCUCAGCAGCCCCUGGCCACACCCAAGUCUCUUCCUUAGCCUUGUUUCUCUGAGGUUGACAACCCGGCCUUGUCCUCCCCACUGGACAAGCUCAGCUCCUCAUCUGCCUCAGGCCGGGUCCGCCACGCACCUUUGCGUCCUGCUCCGCAAACUUGGCGAACAUGUUGGCGUACACCCUGCGGUCUCGAUCGUUGUGCUCCUUGGCCUUCUUCUGGCACCUGGAGAUCUGCAGCCUUGCGGCCUUGUUCUGAGGGUUUACCUCCAGCACCUUCUCAAAGUCGCCUUUGGCUGACUCAAACUCGUUCAUGAGCAGCUGGGCUUCACCCCUUCUGUACAAGCCUUUCUCGUUGGCGCUGUCCAGUCCAAGCGCCUGGAAUAGAGAGACGGCCACAGUUUAGGAGGGACGGCUGUGAGUCUCGUCACUUGAGGGCAAUGAAGAUCUUUAGGAAAUAGCGUGCAGUUCAAGGGCGACAGGCAAGAGGUGCAAUCACACCCCAAGAUAAGCAGAGUGCAAAGUGCUUUAAAAUGAAGAUGCAGUGUCACCUAAAUGAACAAGACUCAUCCCACCCUACGCAGGACAGUCACUGAGACGGUCAAAUGAAGAACAGAUGAACUGCCCCUCAACAAACAGUGGUCUUUACUGUCUCUGCCAGGUUGUUUUGGGGUGACUAUGGCCUCACAGCUCUCCCACUUGGUCUCCACCUUCAGAUAAGGUUGCAGAGGCAGCAGCGGCGGCAAACGUCAGAAAGAAGCUGUGAAGACUCGACUCAGGCUGAGCUUUACUGAGUUAUGAGAACAAACCACAAGGGGUAAACCAAUGAAUUCUCUCUCAAGACUGCAGUUACAAGAAAGAAAAUCCAAGAACACGCCAGAAGAGGGCACCAGAUCCCAUUAUAGAUGGUUGGGAGUCACCAUGUGGUUGCUGGGAAUUGAACUCAGGACCUCUUAACCCCCGAGCCAUCGCUCCAGCACCAGUAAUCCCUCUUUCAAGUGGCAACUGCAAUGAGAACAACCAGACCUUCUUGGGCUGUGCUUGCAUGAGAACAAGUGCAGCCCAGCAAUGUGGGGAAUCACUCAGUGGUCUGAAGACUGCAUGUUCUUUCCCGUCACAGGUAGGUGCUAGUGACCUGUCGGGAGUGGAGGAAGUGUGGGGCCAUUCCUGUGAACUCUGACUGUCACACCCUCUCUCCAUCCUUUCCCUCCACACCUCCACGCUGACACGGACCAACCAAGACGCAUCAGGCCUUGAGUGGUACGGAUGCAGAUGAGCAGGCCAGGCGAGGUCUGCUCUGAGGGGAGGUUACCAUGUGCUCACCACAUACAGAAGAGGAGCCGCCUUAUCGCCUUACAGUGACGCACUCUCACCCACCCUUACCCUGGACCAGCAGGACACUGUGGAAGUGAGGACUACUCUCACUCAAAAGGGGCUGACAGCAUGUGAAGGGGGACACCAGCACGGCACGCGGACACUUGAGUAACAGCGUAGCAGGGAAGGGUUACAGGGGCUUACACACCUUGAAGUACACAGUUCCCUUCUCUUUGACAAUGGCAGCCUGCUCCAGUUUUUCUUUGGUGUCCAUCUCCCAGGAUUCUUUGGCCUGUGUAUAGAUUUGUGGUAUCAGUUAGAUGAGCACAAGGACACAUACCAGUUGACAUUUAGAGAACAAACAGCAGCUACUUCUACAAAAUACCCAAACUCAAAACAGUGGCAGGCAGCCAGGCAGUGGUGGCGCACGCCUUUAAUCCCAGCACUCGGGAGGCAGAGGCAGGCGGAUCUCAGUGAGUUCAAGACCAGCCUGGUCUACAGAGUGAGUUCCAGGACAGCUUCCAAAACAAUACAGAGAAACCCUGUCUGGAAAACAAAAAGACACUAGCAGGCAGAACUGUGUGCCGCUGCCGAGCCGCUGCCAGGCCAGUGCUCUCAGUGCCACUCUAAGAGCAUGAGCCGUGGUUCCCACGCUGCGGUCUGAUGCAGGCUGUCCAAGGGAACGGGCAAAGCACAGCAGGAACAUCAGUGCUGAUCACUCUGAAGGACUGUGCUUUAGAAUGACAGGCCAGCCUCCCGAGGAAUGCCUCACUACGCUGCUGCCACCACCGCCACUUCUGUUUCUGCCAAGUUUGUUUUCCAACUCUCAAGUGGGAUCAUUACUUAUGGUCCAGGCCAAGCUGUGCAUGCAUAGAGAAUUUCUUAAAUUCCAGGCCAGGCAUUGUCUUAUGGCCUCUACCAGUAUCAGCUUGCAGGUGUGCGCGUGGGGAAUUUCUUUUCUUAUUUUCCAGGCAGCAAUGUAUCUCAGGCUGGCCUCCAGCUUACCAUGUAGACAAGGAUGACCUUGAACUCGUGACCCUCCUGUUGGCACCUCUCAAGCGCUGGGAUUACUGGUGUACAUCUCGAUGCCUGCCUUUCCUUCAGGGAUCUUCAGCAAAAUAGGACUGGGAAGAUGGGAGCUCAUGCGAAAACAUCACUGCAGAGCUCUGCAUAAGUGACCUCACCGUCACCAGGGGCAGCGUUAUGUAUUAUGUGUGCCCUACUCUCUACAACAGUACACGCAGGUCUAGAAACAACAGCUCUGGGGCUGUCAUUCAGUGAGACAGUGCUUGUCCUGCAUACUUGACAUGGGUUUUAAAAAAAAAUCCAUAUAACUGCUGGAUUUAAGAUCACAGAACCCAGUAGGAUACCCAAGGUCUUUUAGGAAAUGCAAUAGGAGUGGUUGGCUCUAUUUAGUACAUAUGGAUUAGAAAGUUCAAGUGGGGGGCUGGAGAGACGGCUCAGCAGCUAAGAGCAUGGCUGCUCUUCCAGAGGACCCGUGUUCAGUUCCCAGCACCUACAUGGCAGCUCACAACUGUCUGUAACUCCAGCUCCAAGAGAGUUAACCCUCUCUCACAGACACACAGGCAGAAGAGACACUAAUGCAUAUAAAAUAAAAAUAAAUCUUAGGAAGGAAGGAAGUUAAUUCAAGUGGACUCAGGUAAGCAUUGGUGGCCCACGCCUUUAAUCCCAGCACUUGGGAGGCAGACGUAGAAGAAUCUCUGUGAGUUUGAGGCCAGCCUGAUCUACAGAGUGAGUUCCAGGACAGCCAGCGCUGUUACACAGAGAAACCCUAUCUUGAAAAACAAAACAACAAAUAUUGUAUGUGUAUCUCACAUGUAUACCUAUGUGAACAACAAAUAUUGUAUGUGUAUCUCAUAUGUGUACCCAUGUGAACAACAAAUAUUGUAUGUGUAUCUCACAUGUGUACCCAUGUGAACAACAAAUAUUGCUAGUGUAUGUGAACCUGUGUAAAGACCACAGGUCAGUUUAGGUGUCUUUCUCUAUCACUCCCCACCUACUUAAAAAAAUAAAACUACUUUUACUUAUUUUUUUCAA